rnacentral:rRNA from 1 species
GACGAACGCUGGCGGCGUGCCUAAUACAUGCAAGUAGAACGCUGAAGGAGGAGCUUGCUCUUCUGGAUGAGUUGCGAACGGGUGAGUAACGCGUAGGUAACCUGCCUGGUAGAGGGGGAUAACUAUUGGAAACGAUAGCUAAUACCGCAUAACAGUAGAUGUUGCAUGACAUUUACUUAAAAGGUGCAAUUGCAUCACUACCAGAUGGACCUGCGUUGUAUUAGCUAGUUGGUGGGGUAACGGCUCACCAAGGCGACGAUACAUAGCCGACCUGAGAGGGUGAUCGGCCACACUGGGACUGAGACACGGCCCAGACUCCUACGGGAGGCAGCAGUAGGGAAUCUUCGGCAAUGGACGGAAGUCUGACCGAGCAACGCCGCGUGAGUGAAGAAGGUUUUCGGAUCGUAAAGCUCUGUUGUAAGAGAAGAACGAGUGUGAGAGUGGAAAGUUCACACUGUGACGGUAUCUUACCAGAAAGGGACGGCUAACUACGUG